rnacentral:rRNA from 1 species
CCUACGGGUGGCAGCAGUGAGGAAUAUUGGUCAAUGGACGCUAGCCUGAACCAGCCAAGUAGCGUGCAGGAUGACUGCCCUGUGGGUUGUAAACUUCUUUUGUAUAGGGAUAAAGUUCAAUAUGUAUACUGCUUUGCAUGUACCUUAUGAAUAAGGAUCGGCUAACUCCGUGCCAGCAGCCGCGGUAAUACGGAGGAUCCGAGCGUUAUCCGGAUUUAUUGGGUUUAAAGGGAGCGUAGGCGGGUUGUUAAGUCAGUUGUGAAAGUUUGGGGCUCAACCGUAAAAUUGCAGUUGAUACUGGUAGUCUGGAGUACAGUAGAGGUAGGCGGAAUUCGUGGUGUAGCGGUGAAAUGCUUAGAUAUCACGAAGAACUCCGAUUGCGAAGGCAGCCUGCUGGACUGUAACUGACGCUGAUGCGCGAAAGUGUGGGUAGCAAACAGGAUUAGAUACCCCAGUAGUC